rnacentral:misc_RNA from 1 species
GUUAACCAAAACAUAUACGAAACGUCUUCACUUUGUGUCCGAAAUGUUAAUGUACUCUUAUUGAAUGCACUUGGAGUGAAACAUGGAAAUGGGUACUUCGGAAAAAGAAGAAAAAGGUUAUGCAAGCUUCACUGAGUGGGCAGCUGUCUCAUUAUGGACAGUAUUU